rnacentral:lncRNA from 1 species
CGGGUCGGCCGGGCAGUCGUGCGCCCCCCGGCGGGGGCUCUGUCCGCGGAAGGCCCCGGACCUGGGGGACCCAGCAGCGGCGCGUGCGGGUCAGGUGGGGAGCGCGACGUCCGACGCUCGGCGUCCACGCUCGCCGUCCUGGAGAAGGACGUCCCUGUCGCGAAGCCGUUCGCAGCGCGCGGCCCUGGGGGCGCGCUCAGCUACCCGCUAGGAAAGGUGUCCCGCGGAGGUUGCCCUGGCAGCUGUGGCUCUCCAAUCUACGCCAAAGUCCUGCUGGAGGUCUUGAGAUGAGCAGUGUCUCUGCGUGGUGGCUGGAUAUCAAGCUCUCCAGGAGUGAACAUUUGCAGUCCUUGAACGGCAAGUCCUGGUGUCCAUGAAAUACCUAUAAGUGGAUGUGUUGAAGUCUGUGUGGUGUUUGGAUAUGAAAUCCCAGAGACAGUCUCUGCUAAACAGAUCUUUCACACUUCCAGAAUUUUCCCAGUGUGCGAGCACACUCUGGCAGUCUUCCAGAGCACUUUCUGGAUUAAUUUCUCUGAGUCUUCUCCAUAGCAGAGCUUGAACUCCUGUGCAGAUGAGGACAUGCCUGACCUUGCUUGCCUUCAGGAAGUGGAGUCAGAGUUGUCCUUACAGAGGCCAAAAGAGCUUAUCCUACCCUACAGGCAUUUUUGUAUUCUAAUAGAGCUUUUCCACCUCUAAUCACACUAACAAUUUAGUCAACCCUGCAAAAGAUAUGGGAAAAAAAUUUUAAAACAAAGCCAAAACACUUUGCCUUUGACUCAUUUCAAUGUAAGUUACUCACUAAGUCUGUUUUUAGCCAGGGUUCCCUGUGUCAUUCUGCAUUUCUUUUCCCCCUGUAAAUCACUGGAAGGGAAGAAGCCACAAGAUACAUUACAUAUGCAGACAUUUUCUUAAAAAGCCCUCAAAUGUCUCUGAAAGUUAGCUUAGUAUUUUGAUUCAAAAUGCUGUUUUUGUAGCACUUCACAGCAAGAAAACAGGAAAUUAAGACAAUCUGAACUGCUGAAAGGGCAAGAAGAAACUAACCAGUAGGUUCCAACUAAUCCAGGUGCUUCAGGAAAAGACCCCGCCCACAACCUCUACCAGUUCAGACUGCCUUGACUCAGGACAAAGAACUUUCCUCUCUACCCCCAGGCCAAUUUGCUCUGUUCUCAGACAGCUUUCAAAUUUUAUUGAUUCAGGGAGCUGUGUAGGGACAACAUACUAAACCCAUUUCAUUGCUGAGGAAGUUUUGGGGAGGAAAAUCCUCCUGAAAGUGCAGGUGAGGCUAGAUGCUGAGGACUAAGAAUGCCUCCACAGAGUGAUGUCAGGCUACCUGCUGUUAGAGCCCCAUUGCCUCAGGUAGACUGUUUUCCUUUCCCUUCCAACGUGAAUCAAAUUCCCAGUACCAAAGUAGCUUCUUUGAAUUAGAGCUGUGGUUCUCAAACUUUAGAGUGCAUCAAAAUCACUCAGAGGGUUUAUUAAAACAAAGAUUGCUGGGCCCCUGACUCAUCACUCAUUAGGUCUAUGGUGAAGCCUCACAAAUUGCGUUUCUAAGAAGUUCCCAGAUGUUGCUCAUGCUGUUGGCCCUGGGGCCACACUUUGAGAGCCAAUGAAUUAGGGUAUUAUGAAGACUGACUUCACAAUGCACAUAUCCUGGAAGUAGCAUGCUAAAAUGUUAAUAACUGACACAUGGGGGCGCCUACAUGGCUCAGCGGUUGAGCAUCUGUCUUGCGCUCAGGUUGUGAUCCCCGGGUCCUGGGAUCGAGUCCCAGAUCAGGCUCCCCGGAGGGAGCCUGCUUCUCCUUCUGCCUAUUUCUCUUCCUCUUUCUGUGUGUCUCUCAUAAAUAAAUAAAUAAAACCUUAAAAAAUAAUAACUGAC